GGGGGCGACACGGCAUUCGACGUGGGUCGCGAAACCUGAGGUGCAUGCCGAGGUGCGAGUCCCCUCGUAAAACAAUUCGCAAACUUAUAGUUGCCAACGACGACAACUAC
rnacentral:tmRNA from 1 species